rnacentral:rRNA from 1 species
ACUCCUACGGGAGGCAGCAGUGAGGAAUCUUGCGCAAUGGGGGAAACCCUGACGCAGCAACGCCGCGUGAGUGAGGAAGGUCUUCGGAUCGUAAAGCUCUGUCAGUUGGGAAGAAACGCCUGAGGGUUAAUACCCUUCAGGCUUGACGGUACCAACAGAGGAAGCACCGGCUAACUCCGUGCCAGCAGCCGCGGUAAUACGGGGGGUGCAAGCGUUGUUCGGAAUUAUUGGGCGUAAAGAGCGUGUAGGCGGCCGGAUGUGUCAGAUGUGAAAGCCCUGGGCUUAACCCAGGAAGUGCAUUUGAAACUGUCCGGCUUGAGUAGGGGAGAGGGAAGUGGAAUUCCUGGUGUAGAGGUGAAAUUCGUAGAUAUCAGGAGGAACACCGGUGGCGAAGGCGACUUCCUGGCCCUAUACUGACGCUGAGACGCGAGAGCGUGGGUAGCAAACAGGAUUAGAUACCCUGGUAGUCCACGCCGUAAACGAUGUUCACUAGGUGUUGGGGGUAUUGACCCCCUCAGUGCCGGAGCUAACGCAUUAAGUGAACCGCCUGGGGAGUACGGUCGCAAGACUAAAACUCAAAUGAAUUGACGGA